UGUGUUCUGGAUCGUUCCAGAGCUCCCCAAGGGAGCCAAACCCUAACUCAACAAUAUUCAUCAAAUUGAAGGGUGAAUUGAAGCUCAAAUUAUCAACCGAACGUGAAUUAGUGAUCACCAACACAAGGGGAUCAUAAGGCAUAAGGAUCAUGUGGAAAUGGACUCAAGCAAGAAAGGCAAAAGGGUGAAAAGGAGGCAAGGGAACGGACGCAAAAAGAUUUAUGCAGGUACAUUAUUGAAGGCUCACCAGGGAAUGGAUAUGCGAAUGAUAUGCUUAAAAUCAGAGAGAAAACUGAAGGGAAAGUGUACAUGUAUUGGAUCUUGUUUAUGUAUUGUGUACUAAUGUGAUGAAUGUAUGUGGUGAGUGCAGGUUGUACGAAUCACGGGCGGUUAUCACGAGGAAUAGAGAUCGAAGACCGAGUCACAAGAUAGAUUGUACGGGAAUAAUUGAGUAUGUACUAUUAGUAAACAGGACUUAUGCUUUAUUUUUGUAAAAGAUACAUAUUAAGACAAACUUUCAAGUAAGUCCAGACGUUUGUAAUGAAAGAAAUUUU